rnacentral:rRNA from 1 species
UUACACAUGCAAGUCGAACGGCAGCGGGGACUUCAACUCGCCGGCGAGUGGCGAACGGGUGAGUAAAGUAUCGGAACGUACCUUUCAGUGGGGAUAACGUAGCGAAAGUUACGCUAAUACCGCAUAUUCUGUGAGCAGGAAAGCAGGGGAUCGCAAGACCUUGCGCUGAUUGAGCGGCCGAUAUCAGAUUAGCUAGUUGGUGAGGUAAAGGCUCACCAAGGCGACGAUCUGUAGCGGGUCUGAGAGGAUGAUCCGCCACACUGGAACUGAGACACGGUCCAGACUCCUACGGGAGGCAGCAGUGGGGAAUAUUGGACAAUGGGCGCAAGCCUGAUCCAGCAAUGCCGCGUGUGUGAAGAAGGCCUGCGGGUUGUAAAGCACUUUCAGUGGGGAAGAACGGAUACGGGCCAAUACCCCGCAUCACUGACGUUACCCACAGAAGAAGCACCGGCUAACUCCGUG